rnacentral:lncRNA from 1 species
GCAGCCUAGCUCUAUAUAGAAUCUGGCUGCUAUAAUAUCGGUAGCACGGAGAGGCUUCCGUGUUACCAAAUUAUUUUUAAUGAUGCUGCAUCGAAAUCGAUGCUCGGCCCCAUUAGACUUGAUCUACACCAUUGAAAGUAUUUGAAAACUAAAUUUUAUAAUUUUCGACAUCAUGUACCUAUCAAAUGAGUAGUCUAAAAAUGAACGGCUGCAAAUAAAAAUGUCAUAAAAAAUGACGAUAAAAGACUUGAAUUUAAAAUCAGAGAUACUAAUCUUAUUCUAAAUAGUGAAAAAAAAAAUUAAAAAACUUUUACCAGAUUUGGAUUGUUUUACACCGUUAAAUUUACAAACGCAUUACAUCGGCCAUUAAAAUUGUUAAUUUUCAGACCUUUUGAUCACUAGCCAAAUAAUUCAAAAUUUAUGAAAUUUAGUUUCUAAAUACUUGCAAUAGUGUAGAUCAAGUUUAACAGAACCGAUCAUCAAUUUGGAAGCCGCAUCAUUGAAAAUAACUUUGUAGUACGGAAGCCUCCGUGCUACCAAUAGUAUAGUAGCCUGGCGAGAAUGCUAUCAGUAGCAAAUGGGCUUCGUUGCCACCUAUUUGUUUCGAUGAUAGAGCCUCUAAAUCGACGAUCAACAACGUUGAACAUGAUCUACACCACUUGAAAUAUCUAAAACUCAAAUUUCAAAUCUUUUAAACAUCAUUGGCCUAAUAAUCAAAGGGUUUCAAAAUUUAUAAUUUUAGUGGUCGAUAUAAGACAUUUUUUUAUUUAACGAUGUAAAGAUAUUCAAAUCAACUGAAUUUUGGUUAUAAAAUUUUUUAAACUACUUAGAAUAAAAUCUAUACUCUUGAUCUGGAUUACAAGACU